rnacentral:rRNA from 1 species
AGAGUUUGAUCCCGGCUCAGGAUGAAGGCUGGUGGUAUGCGUGACACAUGCAAGUCGAACGAGAUUCUUCGGAAUAAAGUGGCGGACGGGUGAGUAACAGGUAAGAAUCUACCUUUUGGUGGAGAAUAAUCACUGGAAACGGUGACUAAUACUCCAUAUGCUGAGAAGCGAAAGACUUGUUGCCAAAAGAUGAGCUUGCUUCCGAUUAGCUUGUUGGUGUGGUAAUGGCGUCACCAAGGCAACGAUCGGUAUCCGGCCUGAGAGGGUGAUCGGACACACGGGGACUGAGAUACGGCCCUGACUCCUACGGGAGGCAGCAGUGAGGAAUUUUCCGCAAUGGGCGAAAGCCUGACGGAGCAAUACCACGUGGAGGAUGAAGGUCUGUGGACUGUCAACUCCUUUUCUUGGGGAAGAAGUUCUGACGGUACCCAAGGAAUAAGGAACGGCUAACUUCGUGCCAGCAGCCGCGGUAAUACGAAGGUUUCAAGUCUUGUCCGGAAUUACUGGGCGUAAAGCGUUUGUAGGUGGCUCGUAGAAGUCUGUUGUUAAAGCACAAGGCUCAACCUUGUAACAGCAAUAGAAACUCUCGAGCUCGAGUUUGGUAGAGGCAGAGGGAAUUCUGACAGUAGCAGUGAAAUGCGUAGAUAGUCGGAGGAACACCAGAGGCGAAGGCGCUCUGCUGGGCCAACACUGACACUCAGAAACGAAAGCCAGGGGAGUAAAAAGGAUUAGAUACCCUUGUAAUCCUGGCCGUAAAUGUUGAUCGCUAAGCAUCGGCCAAUUUGUGUCGGUGCUGUAGCUAACGCGUUAAGCGAUCCGCCUGGGGAGUACGAUCUCAAGAUUUAAACUCAAAGGAAUUGACGGGGGCCCGCACAAACAGUGGAGCAUGUGGUUUAAUUUGAUGAUACGCGAAGAACCUUACCAGGGCUUGACAUUGCCUUUUUCCCACUUUUAGAGAUAAAAGGGGUAAACGAGGCAACAGGUGGUGCACGGCUGUCGACAGCUCGUAUUGUGAAACGUUGGGUUAAGUCCCGCAACGAGCGAAACCCUCAUCUUCUGUUGCUACUGCACUCAGGAGAAACUGCUAGUGAUAAACUGGAGGAAGGCGAGGACGACGUCAAGUCAUCAUGCCCCUUACGUCCUGGGCGACACACGUGCUACAAUGGUCAAGACAAAGAGAUGCCAACCCGCGAGGGCGAGCCAACCUCAAAAACUUGAUCUCAGUUCGGAUUGUAGGCUGCAACUCGCCUACAUGAAGUUGGAAUUGUUAGUAAUCGCCGGUCAGCCAUACGGCGGUGAAUACUGUUCUCGGGCCUUGUACACACCGCCCAUCACAUUUUGGAAGUUGGAAAUACCCCAAGACUCGAGAGGGUUUAAGGUAGGUCUAGUAACUGAAAUGAAGUUGUAACAAGGUAUCGGUUCUGGAAGGAGCUGAUG